AGAUAAUGACCCAGGCUCUCUCUUUUCCAAAGAACAGCAAUUUCCCAGCAGAGGUGAAGGACCUGACUAAGCGUAUAAGGACUGUUUUGAUGGCCACAGCUCAGAUGAAGGAGCACGAGAAGGACCCCGAGAUGCUGGUGGAUCUCCAGUACAGCCUGGCAAACUCCUAUGCAAGCACUCCCGAACUACGCAGGACCUGGCUGGAAAGUAUGGCCAAGAUUCACGCCAGAAACGGAGAUUUAUCUGAGGCUGCCAUGUGUUACAUCCAUAUUGCUGCUCUCAUUGCAGAGUAUCUGAAAAGAAAGGGUUACUGGAAAGUGGAAAAGAUUUGCACAGCAUCCCUGCUCUCGGAGGAUACCCACCCCUGUGAUAGCAACUCAUUACUAACAACUCCCAGUGGAGGAA
rnacentral:sRNA from 1 species